UACAGAGGGUGCAAGCGUUAAUCGGAAUUACUGGGCGUAAAGCGUGCGUAGGCGGGUGCGUAAGUCAGAUGUGAAAGCCCCGGGCUCAACCUGGGAAUUGCAUUUGAGACUGCGUAGCUAGGGUGCGGAAGAGGGAAGCGGAAUUUCCGGUGUAGCGGUGAAAUGCGUAGAUAUCGGAAGGAACACCAGUGGCGAAAGCGGCUUCCUGGUCCAGCACCGACGUUCAGGCACGAAAGCGUGGGGAGCAAACAGG
rnacentral:rRNA from 1 species